rnacentral:rRNA from 1 species
CAGUAGCCGCGGGAAUACGGAGGGCGCGAGCGUUACCCGGAUUUACUGGGCGUAAAGGGCGUGUAGGCGGCCUGGGGCGUCCCAUGCGAAAGGCCACGGCUCAACCGUGGAGGAGCGUGGGAUACGCUCAGGCUAGAGGGUGGGAGAGGGUGGUGGAAUUCCCGGAGUAGCGGUGAAAUGCGCAGAUACCGGGAGGAACGCCGAUGGCGAAGGCAGCCACCUGGUCCACUUCUGACGCUGAGGCGCGAAAGCGUGGGGAGCAAACCGGAUUAGAUACCCCAGUAGUCCCUGUCUCUUAUAC